UACGUAGGGUGCGAGCGUUGUCCGGAAUUACUGGGCGUAAAGAGCUCGUAGGCGGCUUGUCGCGUUGUUCGUGAAAAUUUACCGCUCAACGGUGAACUUGCGGGCGAUACGGGCAGGCUAGAGUACUGCAGGGGAGACUGGAAUUCCUGGUGUAGCGGUGAAAUGCGCAGAUAUCAGGAGGAACACCAAUGGCGAAGGCAGCACUCUGGGACGGUACUGACGCUGAGACGCGAAAGCGUGGGGAGCAAACAGG
rnacentral:rRNA from 1 species